GUUGACGGUGGGCGAGGAGCGGGGGUAGAGCAGAGGAGGCGGGCGGUAAUCGUGGUUACUGGUCGGAAAGGGUGCGUAGGCGGCAGGACAAGUGGUGUGUGAAGUCCCUGGGCUCAACCUAGGAACUGCACCUUAGACUGUGGGGCUAGAGGACUGUAGAGGGCAGUGGAAUUUCCGGUGUAGCGGUGAAAUGCGUAGAGAUCGGAAGGAACACCAGUGGCGAAGGCGGCUGCCUGGACAGAUACUGACGCUGAGGCGCGAGAGCGUGGGGAGCAAACAGGAUUAGAUACCCCUGUAGUC
rnacentral:rRNA from 1 species